rnacentral:rRNA from 1 species
UUCGACACACUAUCAUUAACUGAAUCCAUAGGUUAAUGAGGCGAACCGGGGGAACUGAAACAUCUAAGUACCCCGAGGAAAAGAAAUCAACCGAGAUUCCCCCAGUAGCGGCGAGCGAACGGGGAGGAGCCCAGAGCCUGAAUCAGUGUGUGUGUUAGUGGAAGCGUCUGGAAAGGCGCGCGAUACAGGGUGACAGCCCCGUACACAAAAAUGCACAUACUGUGAGCUCGAUGAGUAGGGCGGGACACGUGGUAUCCUGUCUGAAUAUGGGGGGACCAUCCUCCAAGGCUAAAUACUCCUGACUGACCGAUAGUGAACCAGUACCGUGAGGGAAAGGCGAAAAGAACCCCGGCGAGGGGAGUGAAAAAGAACCUGAAACCGUGUACGUACAAGCAGUGGGAGCCUCUUAAUGGGGUGACUGCGUACCUUUUGUAUAAUGGGUCAGCGACUUAUAUUCUGUAGCAAGGUUAACCGAAUAGGGGAGCCGAAGGGAAACCGAGUCUUAACUGGGCGUUAAGUUGCAGGGUAUAGACCCGAAACCCGGUGAUCUAGCCAUGGGCAGGUUGAAGGUUGGGUAACACUAACUGGAGGACCGAACCGACUAAUGUUGAAAAAUUAGCGGAUGACUUGUGGCUGGGGGUGAAAGGCCAAUCAA